GAAUAAGGUGUCACUUGUGUCAUCCCAUGGCGAUCAGGAGAGGCCUACAUGGAUUUUCCCAACAAGGUGGUACCUUGAUUAGCCCCUGUCAACAGCUUCUUACUGGUGAAUGGCUUCUUACAUCCGCUUGGGACUUCACAAACAGUGGCAUUUUUUUCUCAUUGGAGCCAAAUGUUUCUCCAGAAAGAAAGUUUGUCAGCCCCCGGUUAAGGACUGCAUUUCUACUGUGA
rnacentral:lncRNA from 1 species